UACGUAGGGUGCGAGCGUUGUCCGGAAUUAUUGGGCGUAAAGAGCUCGUAGGCGGCUUGUUGCGUCAGCUGUGAAAACCCGCAGCUCAACUGUGGGCUUGCAGCUGAUACGGGCAGACUAGAGUUCGGCAGGGGAGACUGGAAUUCCUGGUGUAGCGGUGAAAUGCGCAGAUAUCAGGAGGAACACCGGUGGCGAAGGCGGGUCUCUGGGCCGAUACUGACGCUGAGGAGCGAAAGCGUGGGGAGCGAACAGG
rnacentral:rRNA from 1 species